rnacentral:rRNA from 1 species
CAGUAGCCGCGGGAAAACGGAGGGAGCUAGCGUUGUUCGGAAUUACUGGGCGUAAAGCGCGCGUAGGCGGUUACUCAAGUCAGAGGUGAAAGCCCGGGGCUCAACCCCGGAACUGCCUUUGAAACUAGGUGACUAGAAUCUUGGAGAGGUCAGUGGAAUUCCGAGUGUAGAGGUGAAAUUCGUAGAUAUUCGGAAGAACACCAGUGGCGAAGGCGACUGACUGGACAAGUAUUGACGCUGAGGUGCGAAAGCGUGGGGAGCAAACAGGAUUAGAUACCCCGGUAGUCCCUGUCUCUUAUAC